rnacentral:rRNA from 1 species
GCCUACGGGGGGCAGCAGUGAGGAAUAUUGGUCAAUGGGCGGGAGCCUGAACCAGCCAAGCCGCGUGAGGGAAGAAGGUACAGCGUAUCGUAAACCUCUUUUGUCAGGGAACAAAGGCGGGGACUAGUCCCCGGAUGAGGGUACCUGAAGAAAAAGCAUCGGCUAACUCCGUGCCAGCAGCCGCGGUAAUACGGAGGAUGCGAGCGUUAUCCGGAUUUAUUGGGUUUAAAGGGUGCGCAGGCGGAGAAAUAAGUCUGAUGUGAAAGCCCACGGCUCAACCGGGGAACUGAAUCGGAAACUGUUUU